ACAUUUUAUCAUCUCAGAACAAGAAGGACAGGUGAUGUAGAAAGGCAAGCGUUCCAGAAAUUUUAGAGGAACGAGCUGUAUUUGACCCAGCCGGAGGAGCACACUCUUGUUCACCUUAUUAUGCUCACGGGAGCAUCGUUACUAUGUCCUGUUUAGAAAUUUCUACAUAGCCAACUGUUUCAUGUGGAAUUAAUCAUAAUCUUUCUCUCUUAUAAUCAAGACCACUUCAAACGGAUCCUCAAAUAUUUUUCUCGACAUCUCCCAGCACACUCAGCGGCACCCGUCCACCUGCAGGAGCAGACCUCCAGAGUGGGGUUAGACUUCCUUCCUGGGAAUCCAGAGUAGGCCACUUACUCACACUGUGGCCUGCGGCUAGCUGCCUAACCUCUCCACCGCUCAGCUUCUUCGUGUGUAACAUGGAAAAAGUAGUUAAUACUUACCUCAUAGGUUUGUUAUGAAGCGCCCAACCUGCUCUAGACUAGUCCCAUUUCUCUGAGAACCUCCUCUGUCAAAGUAGAACACGUAAGACACUUAUGUUCAGCUCAAGUUUCCCCCUUGCUGUUUUUAAGAUCAGCCUCUGUGAGCAGGUCGAGGAACUCAAAUGCUGAUAUGAUGCUAUUCAGAAGGGAGCAGGACAUACCAACAGUAUUUAUCAACACAUGUAUACAGCUGCUGAGCCACAGAGAGGAGAAAUAAGAUGAGAAAGCCAUGCUUCCCACCCUGGAAAAGCUUCUGGAUGGAAAUGGAGAAAUAUUAGACUUAAUAUCUUUAUAUUUCCUGCAUCUAUUGGAAGAUAACAACAUCCUAUCCAUCUGGCCAAAGCAUAACAGAAUUUGUUGUGUCCUUCACUAAAUCUGGGCACCUUUGGCUGUCUCUGAGCUUGGUCUGUGGAGAUCCUGUAAAAGCUCAGACUGUCUGUAUAAUUCUUCCCCAGACACAAUCAUCUGGCUUAUUUAAGAAUGUUCUGGAAUCUGUGAACUAUAAGCUCUUCCUCUUGUCAGGUUGAGAUUUUUUGGAUCCAACUAAUGUUCUCCCCUGGGUACAUCAGUAAGUCAAGAGAGAAAACUUACGAGCAAAGGAUUCUCUUGUUCUUCAGAAAUUCAACCAGAACAAGUUUCAGGUGGUAAGAGCUAGAGUCUAUACUAC